rnacentral:rRNA from 1 species
UACGUAGGUGACAAGCGUUGUCCGGAUUUACUGGGCGUAAAGAGCGCGCAGGCGGUCGUUCAAGUCGAGUGUGAAAGCCCCCGGCUCAACUGGGGAGGGUCAUUCGAUACUGAUCGACUCGAAGGCAGGAGAGGGUAGUGGAAUUCCCGGUGUAGUGGUGAAAUGCGUAGAUAUCGGGAGGAACACCAGUGGCGAAGGCGGCCCCCUGGGCCGGCCCGCUGACACUGAGACGCGAAGGCGUGGGGAGCGAACGGG